AUACGGAGGGUGCAAGCGUUAUUCGGAAUCACUGGGCGUAAAGGACGCGUAGGCGGGUUGGCAAGUCAGAUGAGAAAUCCUACAGCUUAACUGUAGAACUGCAUUUGAAACUGCUAACCUAGAGUAUGGGAGGGGGAGAUGGAAUUAGUGGUGUAGGGGUAAAAUCCGUAGAUAUCACUAGGAAUACCGAAAGCGAAGGCGAUCUCCUGGAACAUAACUGACGCUAAGGCGUGAAAGCGUGGGGAGCAAACAGGAUUAGAUACCCGAGUAGUCC
rnacentral:rRNA from 1 species